rnacentral:rRNA from 1 species
CCUACCUUAACUUUUGGGAUAGCCCGAAGAAAUUCGGAUUAAUACCGGAUAAUAUCAAGAUAUGACAUCACAGCUUGAUUAAAGGCGCGAGUUGGUUAAAGAUGGGCAUGCGUCCCAUUAGUUAGUUGGGGAGGUAACGGCUCACCAAGGCGAUGAUGGGUAGGGGCUCUGAGAGGAUUACCCCCCACAUUGGUACUGAGACAGGGACCAAACUCCUACGGGAGGCAGCAGUGAGGAAUAUUGGGCAAUGGACGGAAGUCUGACCCAGCCAUGCCGCGUGCAGGAAGACGGCCUUAUGGGUUGUAAACUGCUUUUAUGUAGGGAAAAAGUUCAUAUUGCGAUAUGAUUUGAUGGUACUACAGGAAUAAGAAUCGGCUAACUCCGUGCCAGCAGCCGCGGUAAUACGGAGGAUUCGAGCGUUAUCCGGAUUUAUUGGGUUUAAAGGGUGCGCAGGCGGACUAUUAAGUCAGUGGUGAAAUUUUCCGGCUCAACCGGGACAGUGCCAUUGAUACUGAUAGACUAGAGUAUAAUUGACGUAUGUGGAAUGUAGCAUGUAGCGGUGAAAUGCAUAGAGAUGCUACAGAACACCGAUAGCGAAGGCAGCAUACGAAGCUAUAACUGACGCUCAUGCGCGAAAGCGUGGGGAUCAAACAGGAUUAGAUACCCUGGUAGUCCACGCUGUAAACGAUGAUAACU